rnacentral:rRNA from 1 species
CCUACGGGAGGCAGCAGUGGGGAAUUUUGCACAAUGGGGGAAACCCUGAUGCAGCAACGCCGCGUGGGGGACGAAGGCUCUCGGGUCGUAAACCCCUUUUCCCGGGGACGAUGAUGACGGUACCCGGGGAAGAAGCCCCGGCUAACUACGUGCCAGCAGCCGCGGU